UGUCCUGUGGUGUAAUUGGCAACACGUCUGAUUCUGGAUCAGAAGAGUUCAGGUUCGAGACCUGACAGGACAACAA
rnacentral:tRNA from 2 species